AGACUCUGUGCGCGUGCAUAUCAAUAAGCGGAGGAAAAGAAACUAACAAGGAUUCCCUAGUAACGGCGAGUGAAGCGGGAAGAGCUCAAAUUUGAAAUCUUCAAGGUUUUACCUUGACGAAUUGUAGUUUAAAGAAGUGUUUUCUGUUGGAGUUUCGGUAAAAGUCCUUUGGAAUAGGACAUCAUAGAGGGUGAGAAUCCCGUAUUUGACCGUUACUUUCCAGCUGUGUGAUACACUUUCAAAGAGUCGGAUUGUUUGGGAAUGCAGUCCAAGAUGGGUGGUAAAUUUCAUCUAAAGCUAAAUAUUGGCGAGAGACCGAUAGCGAACAAGUACCGUGAGGGAAAGACUGAAAAGAACUUUGAAAAGAGAGUUAAACAGUACGUGAAAUUGUCAAAAGGGAAGCGUUUGACACCAGUGUUGUUUAGUUGAAAAUCAAUUCAAUAGUUUUUGAUUUAAGUAGUAUUGACUUCAUCAGCUUGCUGCUUUCUUUCAGAAAUUAUUGAAUGCACUUUUCAGUUAACAAGUCAACAUCAAUUUCUUUUGUUGUAAAAGGGUAAGAGGAAGGUGGCUUGCGCUUCGGCUCAAGUGUUUAUAGCCUUUUAUCUCUGCAAUCGGAGAGAUUGAGGUCUGCAGCGUAGAUCCUUCGGGGUUAGAUACAUUGGUGCUAAGCUAUAGCCUUGUAUAGACAACUUGUUGACUAUGCUCAGUCAUGUAGCUUACUCGCUGAUGCUAUUUUACCUACGCUUAGGAUGUUGACAGCAGUAUAGACUGU
rnacentral:rRNA from 1 species